UCCGUAGACUGUAUUGUAAGUUAUUCGUUAAAUCCUAAAGCCUAACUUUAGAAAAGCAUUUAAUACUACUAUACUUGAGUUUUUUGUCAGAAGAGUAGAAUUUCAUGUCGAGGAGUAACGACUGCAGACACAUGAAGGAAUAUCAGCAGCGAAGGCGGCUCUUUGGUAAAAACUGACGUUGAGGGACGAAAGUGUAGGUAGCAAACAA
rnacentral:rRNA from 1 species